CCUACGGGUGGCAGCAGUGAGGAAUAUUGGUCAAUGGGCGUAAGCCUGAACCAGCCACGUCGCGUGAGGGAUGAAGGUCCUAUGGAUCGUAAACCUCUUUUAUAAGGGAAUAAAGUGUGGGACGUGUCCUAUUUUGUAUGUACCUCAUGAAUAAGGCACGGCUAACACCGGGCCAGCAGCAGCGGUAAUACGGAGGAACCGAGCGUUAUCCGGAUUUAGUGGGUUUAAAGGGUGCGUAGGCGGCCUUGUAAGUCAGAGGUGAAAGUCUGUGGCUCAACCAUGGAAUUGCCGUUGAAACUGGGGGGCUUGAGUGUGUGUGAGGCAGGCGGAAUGCGUGGUGGAGCGGUGAAAUGCUUAGAUAUCACGCAGAACCCCGAUGGCGAAGGCAGCCUGCCGGGCCAUGACUGACGCUGAUGCACGAAAGCGUGGGGAUCAAACAGGAUUAGAUACCCGGGUAGUC
rnacentral:rRNA from 1 species